rnacentral:tRNA from 1 species
GCGGGAGUGCCGGAGCGGCCAAACGGGACAGCCUCAAGAGCUGUUGGCUUAGUGCCUGCAUAGGUUCGAUUCCUAUCUCCCGCA